GGUGAUUGAGCCGCGCCAAUAUCCCUUGCGCGAGAACGGUGUGGUCGCCGUUGUUGUUAUUGUUUCCGAUUAGCUCCGCCGCGUUGAACAGCUGCUCGAUGAUGACCGUUUGGUCAUCGCCGGCCGUUCCCGGCGGCGGAACCGGAGGCAAAGACGAGGAAGACGACGGGAGUUGUUGUUGCUAGCGGCGGAACGGGAGGCAAAGACGAGGAAGACGACGGGAGUUGUUGUUGCUGGUGAAACUGAAACGGGAACUGGAAUUGCUGUUGACGGCGGACGAGAAACGGGUCGUGACCCGGAUCCGGAUCCGGAAACGGGAAAACGGGUUGAUGAGAUCCUGAGUUGAAC
rnacentral:lncRNA from 1 species